rnacentral:rRNA from 1 species
UACGUAGGUGGCGAGCGUUGUCCGGAUUUAUUGGGUUUAAAGGGUGCGUAGGCGGCCCUAUAAGUCAGUGGUGAAAUAUCGCAGCUCAACUGUGAGGGUGCCAUUGAUACUGUAGGGCUUGAGUGAAUUUGAGGUAGGCGGAAUUGACGGUGUAGCGGUGAAAUGCUUAGAUAUCGUCAAGAACACCGAUAGUGAAGACAGCUUACCAAGCUUCAACUGACGCUGAGGCACGAAAGUGUGGGGAUCAAACAGG